rnacentral:misc_RNA from 1 species
AGAAGAAGCAAAUAGUCCAGUUGUUGGGUUACGUUUAUCUUUGCCUUGUAAAGAAAACGUCAAAAAAGUGCGAAAUACAGCGAAUUUUCUGGCGAAAAUUGUUGAAACCCCUAUUUCAACAUAUACCGGUGCUACAGUCGAUUAGUAAAAUAGUUGGUCUUUGUGCGAACUAACUAAAAAUUGCAUUUAAAAAAUUUGCGCGUUCACGGUUCGUUCAGCGUGGCGUGUGUAUGUAUAUAUGUGUGCGUAAUAUACCUGCUAGUUGGUUUGAUUCGCUGUCUCAGUGCGCAAGGAGAGCAAGAGAGAACUCGCUACUUUGAAGCGAAGCGUUGCAACUGAACGAAAACAUUGCAAAAUACAAAUAAUUGUAUUUUGUAAGCAAUAUUAAUAUCAAUACCGAUAUCAUAAUGUCCGACGAGACCAGCAUACAGAAACCGGAAGCAGAGGCCGUUGCCGAGGCGAAGGCCAACAACGAUGAAGAUGCAUCAAUUCAACCGGCGGCAGAUGAGAAGAAGACACCCAAACGCACGCCCAAGCGUCGCUCCUUCAUUGAGCGGGCUCAGCGCGAGAGUGAAGAGCUGGUGCGGACAAUGGGUGGCAGCUUGGAGCUGGAAGGUGGACGACGCACUCGAUCCAGUACUCGUGGUACACCAACGCGACCCGCCGAAACCGUAACGCCGCCACCGAGCAAAAAGGCGCGCACAUCCCCAGCGACGACUAAGAGCGGCGGACGGGGACGCGGAGCACGCAAAUUGGAUAUAGCCGGCGGUGAGGAAGUUGAGCAAGAGACUGCUAAAUCCAAGUCAGUCAUAGCGGACGAGCAGGAAGAGCCGGUGCAGGCAAGCGAAGCUGUUAAGUCAAAUGUUGCUGCAAAGAAAGGAAAGAAAGAAGAGAAGGUUCAAAAGGCUAAGGAAGCUGAUGUAAAGGAGACGGUAGAUACCAAGAGCAAAGACGAUUCUGAACCUAAAGACACGGAAUCAAAAGUAACUGCGUCCCAAGCCACAGAAUCAACGGAUCAGCCAGACUCUGCUGCCCAAGUGCCUGCAGCGCAAGAUAAAAAACAAAACAAUGUUGUUCACGAUAAAUCAAAUACAAAGGAGCCUGAAGUGAAGGAGAAAACGCCCGAGCCAUUGGCAAAGCCGGAGGAACCAGCUGAACCAGUUGAAAGCCCACAGAAAAGUGAUGCUGCUGCCCCAGAUUCUGCCUCAGCAAUGGAAGUGGAUGACGAAGAAAAACAGCAGCCAAUCACAGAACAGCCUGCCGCAGAUACUACAUCUUCCGAUACUGCUGUUAUUACAGAAACAAUUGACGGAAAGAAUGAAUCAAAAGUCGCCCAGGAAAAGGUGAGCAGUGAGGAACCGAAAGUAGAAACCUCUGAACCCGUCAAGCAGCAGACACCGGAACCCAUGGAGGUAGAUUCGAGUUCGAAAGCUAGCACUGAAACCACCAAGACCGUAUCACCCGUUAAAGAGGUUGUGCCAGUAGCAGCUGCCGCCGCAGCCGUCGAGUCUGAAUCAGAUCAGACGACAGUAAGUAAUAACGAAGUCGUUGAAUCGGCUAUCGAAGUCAAAGAGGAUGCACCAGUCGUACCGGAGAAGGAGGUAAAUGCUAGCGAAGUCGAGAGCACACCAGCAGAGAACAGUACAACUAAAGCUGAUGAAGCACCUGCCAACAAUGAUGUAAGCAAACUGUCUGUGCCGGUUGCCCAAGCCGAUACCGUCGUAACGGAGACACCGCCAACGGCCGUUAAGGAGCCGCAGGCCAACUGUGAAAACAAGUCCGAGCACAAUGACAAUGGCGAACCGAAGAUCGUUAACAAUGCCACCGACGAUGGGGAAAACCAUGUAACGCCGCAGGCUUGCAAUUAAGCAGAAGCAAUAUUAUAAUAAUGAUGAUGAUAAUGAAAACCAAUAACUAUAGCUCGUGCCGAAAGUGUACAAGUGUAACUUCGAAUCGAUUCGACAAGUUGCCGCCAACAAAUAAGCAAAUAACAAGAGUUUUACCCAAAAACGGGCAUGCAUAGGUUUAAUUCUGUUUCCAUUGUCAAGUUUUCUUUUUAUUCUCAAACCACAAAAUGGCUGUAAUCGAUGCUGGAUUUUAAAUGCUGAUCUGUGUGCGCAAUAUAUAGUAACAAACACAUACAGCAAAUAGAAACUAAAACGUAGAUCUAACCCGCCAACACACACCCAGCCCCACACACACACACACACACACACACGCACACAUUGUUAAAA